rnacentral:rRNA from 1 species
GACGAGGGAUCCUAGCGUUGUUCGGAAUCAUUGGGCGUAAAGCGGAUGUAGGUGGCUUUGUAAGUCAGAUGUGAAAGCCCCGGGCUCAACCCGGGAAGUGCAUUUGAUACUGCGGAGCUUGAGUGCUAGAGAGGUUACUAGAAUACCUGGUGUAGUGGUGAAAUACGUAGAUAUCAGGUGGAAUACCGGAGGCGAAGGCGGGUAACCAGCUAGACACUGACACUCAGAUCCGAAAGUGUGGGGAUCAAACAGG